UACGUAGGGUGCAAGCGUUAAUCGGAAUUACUGGGCGUAAAGCGUGCGCAGGCGGUUCGUUGUGUCUGAUGUGAAAGCCCCGGGCUUAACCUGGGAAUGGCAUUGGAAACUGGCGAGCUGGAGUGUGGCAGAGGGGGGUGGAAUUCCGCGUGUAGCAGUGAAAUGCGUAGAGAUGCGGAGGAACACCGAUGGCGAAGGCAGCCCCCUGGGCUGACACUGACGCUCAGGCACGAAAGCGUGGGGAGCAAACAGG
rnacentral:rRNA from 1 species